GGAAGAAAAGAGUGUAGAAUAUGAAGGAGAUCUGAAAUCAGGGACUGCAGAAACAGAACCUGUAGAGGAAGACUCUUCACAGCCUUCCUUACCUUUAGUGAGAGCAGAUGAUCCUCUAAGACUUGACCAGGAGUUGCAGCAGCCCCAAACUCAGGAGAAAACAAAUAAUUCAUUAACAGAAGACUCAAAAAUGGCUAAUGCAAAGCAGCUAAGCUCAGAUGCAGAGGCCCAGAAGCUGGGGAAGCCCUCUGCCCAUGCCUCACAAAGCUUCUGUGAAAGUUCUAGUGAAACCCCAUUUCAUUUCACUUUGCCUAAAGAAGGUGAUAUCAUCCCACCAUUGACUGGUGCAACCCCACCUCUUAUUGGGCACCUAAAAUUGGAGCCCAAGAGACACAGUACUCCUAUUGUGCUGGGAGGUAACAAUCAUGCCGUCUGGAGUCUCCUGCUACCUAUGCCUGAUGCUGGCAGAUGUGGGUUGGCUGAGGGCUCAUGCAGCAUCCUUUGUCCAGAUGCAGAAGUGGAACUGAAUCCUGUUGCUCCUCUUAAGACCAGGUAUUAGCAACUAUCCAGAAAGCACCAUAGCAACCAGUGAUGUCAUGUCUGAAAGCAU
rnacentral:sRNA from 1 species